UAUUUGUGUUAGAAGUCAAAGCUUGGUUCCU
rnacentral:piRNA from 1 species